rnacentral:lncRNA from 1 species
GGGCAAGUCUGACUGUGAGGAAUUUCCUCCAGUAUUUUCAUAGCAACCUUCAGAUGAAAGUGUAGAACUCUCAGCUCCUCCUGCAUCAUGACUGCCUGGGGCUGCCAUGUUCCUGCCUUGAUGAUAAUGGACUGAACCUCUAAACCUGGUUGGACCAAUGUGUAGAAAAUUGCUUAUGGGAUUCUUUGAAUGACUUUUUCAUUGCGGGAAAUAUUAAAAAUGAACCUGCCAACCUUCCACACUCCUGCUUCUUUCAAGCCACCAACUCAAGAGAUCUGUCUCUGCCUCCUACGUGCUGGAAUCAAAGAAAUUACUUCACUGCCAUUAGAGCCUACUUCUUCAGGAUUCUGCUUAUACUGAAAACCAUGUGGGACAUCCAGCCUUGUGGACUGAACAACUUCUGGCUUCUUGGACCUUUCACUGUUAGUCAGCCAUUGUUGGACCACAGCCUAUAAGUCGUUCUAAUAAAUCUCCUACAUAUAGAUUCA